AGUGGGAUGGUUGGGUCAAAUGAUCGUUUCAUUCUAAGUUUUCUGAGGAAUUUCCAUACUGAUUUCCAAAGUGGUUGCACCAAUUUGCAGUCCCACCAGCUGU
rnacentral:pre_miRNA from 1 species